rnacentral:rRNA from 1 species
UACGAAGGGUCCUAGCGUUGUUCGGAAUUACUGGGCGUAAAGGGCGCGUAGGCGGCCAGAUUAGUCAGGCGUGAAAGCCCUGGGCUCAACCCGGGGACUGCGCUUGAGACGGUAUGGCUUGAGGGUGGAAGAGGCUCGCGGAAUUCCCAGUGUAGAGGUGAAAUUCGUAGAUAUUGGGAAGAACACCGGUGGCGAAGGCGGCGAGCUGGUCCAUCACUGACGCUGAGGCGCGACAGCGUGGGGAGCAAACAGG